rnacentral:lncRNA from 11 species
AUGUAUACAUUCAAACAGUAAUUUGCAAAUUUUAUAAAAACAAUAACAAGUUGUUGUCUUAUCCAUUAUCAGUAAUACCAGUGGUGCUUUGAAAUGUUUGUAUGCAUCAUGACAUCCCCCAUACUAUGGUCCAAAGUAGACUCCAUAAGUGCAGAUAUCUUGUUAGUCAUUAUUAUUAAUCUCAUGGGAGGUGCAAGCAUGCUGAAAGGAAAAAAAAGAAAGAGCGAGAAAAAGAAAGAAAGAAAGAAAGAAAGAAAGAAAGAAAGAAAGAAAGAAAGAAAGAAAGAAAGAAAGAAAGAGGAUCAAUCAAAGCACUGCUCAUUGUUUAGACUCUGAUACCAACCAUGCAUCACAUUUACUAAUUGUUAUUGGCACAGAUAUGAUGUGAACAUUUCCUUUGAAUACCAAGGACAGAUACUGCAAGCAAGGGAAUGAUGAAUGAGUCAGAAAAAGGAAAUAACCAGUUGCUGGAAGAAUAAUCGCACAACCUUGGCCCCUGAUCACUUUAGGACAGUCAACGCUUUACAGUCUAAAAUGAUUGCCAGCUAAACAAUGACUAUGCAAAAUGUCUGUGAAGAAAAAAAUUAAGAUAAUAUUAUGUAGUGCAAUGCAGUGGAAAUAACCUGAACCUUUCUUCAAAUCCAUCACAUUUCUUAGUGGUUUUGGCAAGACA